CAGCCGCCGCGGGAACACGAAGGGUGCAAGCGUUAAUCGGAAUUACUGGGCGUAAAGCGUGCGUAGGCGGUUUGUUAAGUCUGCUGUGAAAUCCCCGGGCUCAACCUGGGAAUGGCAGUGGAUACUGGCAAGCUAGAGUGUGUCAGAGGAUGGUGGAAUUCCCGGUGUAGCGGUGAAAUGCGUAGAGAUCGGGAGGAACAUCAGUGGCGAAGGCGGCCAUCUGGGACAACACUGACGCUGAGGCACGAAAGCGUGGGGAGCAAACAGGAUUAGAUACCCCGGUAGUCCCUGUCUCUUAUAC
rnacentral:rRNA from 1 species